rnacentral:rRNA from 1 species
GACGAACGCUGGCGGCGUGCUUAACACAUGCAAGUCGAACGAUGAACUUGGAGCUUGCUCUGGGGGAUUAGUGGCGAACGGGUGAGUAACACGUGAGUAGCCUGCCCUGGACUCUGGGAUAACUUCGAGAAAUCGGAGCUAAUACCGGAUAGGACCUUGCACCGCAUGGUGUGGGGUGGAAAGUUUUUCGGUUUGGGAUGGACUCGCGGCCUAUCAGCUUGUUGGUGGGGUAAUGGCUCACCAAGGCGUCGACGGGUAGCCGGCCUGAGAGGGUGACCGGCCACACUGGGACUGAGACACGGCCCAGACUCCUACGGGAGGCAGCAGUGGGGAAUAUUGCACAAUGGGCGCAAGCCUGAUGCAGCAACGCCGCGUGCGGGAUGACGGCCUUCGGGUUGUAAACCGCUUUUAGUAGGGAAGAAGCCUUCGGGUGACGGUACCUGCAGAAAAAGGACCGGCUAACUACGUGCCAGCAGCCGCUGUAACAC